UCUCUCUCUCUCUGGUCUUUUUCUCUAGAAAGUAAAUUCUCGAGAAACAAUACACAAACCACCAGUAUCACUCUGAUUACGUCUCUGAUCUGUUCUCUACCCACCAAAUCUCCCAUACUUCGGUGAAGUAUUAUCUCCGAACAUACAUUCUUUUAAGCUCUCCCAGCUGAGUAGUACUCUCCGCCAGUAUUACACGAGCUCCAUCCUGAAAGAGGCCAAAAUGAAACUACUUCCUCCUGAUCAUCACGGAAACCCAUCAUCAUCAUCAUCCUCAUCAAUGAGGUGCUAUCAACAGCAGCAACAACCACCGCAGAGUUCUUCGUGGAUGUUGAACUCCUCAUCAUCAGCAUCAUUUACUCAAAACAUAAAUAGUAAUAAUAAUAAUAAUGCCAAUAGCAAAGUAGAGGAGAGUGAUGAGGAAGAAGAUGACGAUGAGGACGAUGAUGAUCUAUUCACAGUACCUGAUAUGGAAGCAGCAGCAACAGCUAGACCAAGUACUACUGAUGCAUCUCCACUAACAAAAGCUACUACUACUGCUGUUGGUGAGGAAUCACAACAAAACAACAAUGCGGCAGCAUCUGGUAAGCAGCGUAAGAGAGGCCGGAAUCCUGCUGAUAGAGAGUACAGAAGGUUGAAGAGGUUGCUUAGGAACAGGGUUUCCGCCCAGCAAGCCCGUGAAAGGAAGAAGCUUUAUGUCACCGAGCUGGAAUCUAAAGCAACAGAUUUGCAGGACAAGAAUUCAAAGUUGGAGGAGAAGAUUUCGACUUUGACCAAUGAAAAUACCAUGCUACGGAAGGUCCUUAUGAACACUAGGCCUAAAGUCGACGAAACAGCUGACAUCAAACAUGAUCAUUCAGGCAAAACGUGACUCGUAAAGAAUGUACCAAGUAAUCAUGCCAUGAGUUGAGUAGUUUAUGCAAAGCAGCCUGCAAGGAUACAUGAUCAUGAUAUGAACUUGGGAUAGCUAGGAAAGAUAUCACAAUGAUAUCUCUGGACCCUUGAUGGAUGAGACGGUUACGACAGAUGGAUGCAGGCAUAAAGAUAGCACACUCUUGUUACUUUCAAAGGUAUUAAUGUGGAUGUUUCGAAUGGUCAUGGCUCACUGCUACAAUAUAUUGUUGUUGCUGGCAAACACGAGCCAGUGUGAAUAACAAUUUUAAGUUAAAUCCUAUAUACAUGAUGACAGGUGACAGGAGCUAUAUGGACACCCAGGGAUAACUGAACCUAACAGCAGUCAAUGGAAACAUAUGAUUAACUGAACCUAACAGCAGUCUUAUGUAAAUCACAUUGUAGUUAUAACAUUUUUGUUAUAUCCGAGUAACUUGUAUUCCUUUUCCUUGUUGUUUCAUGUCUCGUGUACUUCAAGUCA